rnacentral:sRNA from 1 species
GUUUGCACUCAUCGGGGAAGGGUGAGAACCUCCGACUAAGGUUCGAUUCGAGCGAAAGCGAGAGAACGUUGCCACAGGCAACGGCCCGAAGGGUGAGGAGCGAAGCGACGAAUAAUCCUUCCCCCACCACCA